rnacentral:tRNA from 1 species
GACUCCGUAGCUCAGUUGGAUAGAGCAACUGCCUUCUAAGCAGUAGGUCGCAGGUUCGAAUCCUGCCGGGGUCGCCA